CUGAGGGAGGAAGACUUAGUAUCUUCGCUGUUGCCGGAAGCAGAAAAAGGACCUUUAAACAAGUCGGCCUUAGGCCCAGAUAGAAAAAAAACACGCUCUUUCAAAAGUGGGUCCACUUUGCAGAGAAAGGAGGAAAAGAGGACAGCGGCACCGAGCCCUCCGUCUACCGCAGUUUGGCCUCAGAUGCGCCCAUCUCCAGCAGCAAGAAGUCAGAGAGACGUCUGCGUCAGAGUCCCGAGAUGCUGGUGACUGGGAGGCUCGCACACAUGCCCGACGGCCUGUUUGGAGAAUGACCAGUUGAUUGGAAAAACACCAAAAUUUCCCUCUAAACCCCGAAUAAUCCCACGACACGAUUCUUUUCCUAACUCUUAAUCAAUUUACAAAUAACUGUACAGAUCGACCACACUGUGUAAUCAGCACGAACAACUAAUGUCCGGAAGUUGCAGAAGGCCAGACAGAUUUACAAGUUUGAGGU